rnacentral:ncRNA from 2 species
GACAGAGGUGGCAAGCGUUGUUCGGAAUUACUGGGCGUAAAGGGCGCGCAGGCGGUUUGCCAAGUCCCGUGUGAAAUCCCCCGGCUCAACUGGGGAACUGCGCGGGAAACUAGCGAGCUUGAGUUCGGGAGAGGGAAGCGGAAUUCCGGGUGUAGCGGUGAAAUGCGCAGAUAUCCGGAGGAACACCAGUGGCGAAGGCGGCUUCCUGGACCGACACUGACGCUGAGGCGCGAAAGCUAGGGGAGCGAACGGG